AGAUCAUAGUCCAAUGCAGCCUUGAACUUGUGGGCUCAAGUGAUCCUCUCACCUCAGCCUCCUAAGCAGCUGGGAUUACAGGCACCAGAUGGCCAUGUAUUAGGUGUUUGGUUUACUUUAUGAAAUUUCAGAGCCGGAGGAACAAACAAAAGAUAGGGAGUAUGGGAUCUGGCCCUGAGGAACUGAAGCCCUACUACCAGGGGAAGUCUCAGCUGACUUCUAAAACAAGGCAGGACAAGACAAGGUGCCAUCAUCAUAGCACUUUCAAAGUCUCUGUCACUUACCUGAGAGUGAGAUUCCUUCUGCAAGCCCAUAAGGCAGAUAAGCAAAAAUGAUCAUCAUGCCAAAUUCCAAAGAAGGCG